rnacentral:rRNA from 1 species
CGGACGGGUGAGUAACGCGUGAGUAACCUGCCUUUCAGAGGGGAAUAACGUUCUGAAAAGAACGCUAAUACCGCAUAACGUACAGUUACCGCAUGGUAGCAGUACCAAAGGAGCAAUCCGCUGAAAGAUGGACUCGCGUCCGAUUAGCUAGUUGGUGGGGUAAAGGGCCUACCAAGGCGACGAUCGGUAGCCGGACUGAGAGGUUGAACGGCCACAUUGGGACUGAGACACGGCCCAG